AGGUGUCUAGAGGCCACUACCGUAUCUAAGCACAUAACCAUUCGCUUACUGGAGCCGAUCAUGAGGUUCUCGGGACGACGCAUCUCUGUCAUGCUGCUUGUGUUAAUAAGCUUUAUAAUAACUGCAUCAGCGAACGAGGAGGAGGAGAUUUCGGAGGAGGAGGAGGAGGAGGAGGAGGAGGAGGAGGAGGAGGAGGAGGGCGGCUUACUGGACUGCGAAAGUGAAGGCGAGGACUGCGAGGACGAAAACGACUGUGGAGCCGACUGCAAAUGCGAUGAAACAAUCAAGGUAUGCAUCAACAUACCGACAACAACAACAAAUAAAUCGUGACUAUGACCUGGGGUGAUUCACCACUGGAGAGCACCUACAACCGACAACAAACCGACCGUAGACUGACCACUUUCGAAAGGAUCAUAAAAGCUUGGGAGGACCGAUGCUGAUGAAUGUAGGAACCUGUUGGAGUCUGUAUUCAGGAAUUUACGUCAAAGAAUCCCGAAAAUAAUUCUACACGUCCGAGUUUAACGUCUGCUUUAUUUCCUAAAUGUGUUGUAAACAAUAAAAUCACUGUUUAAGUAUA